GACGAACGCUGGCGGCGUGCUUAACACAUGCAAGUCGAACGGACAGGCCAUGCUUUUGUUGGGUGCUCGAGUGGCGAACAGGUGAGUAACACGUGAGUAACCUGCCCUUGACUGUGUGAUAACUUCAGGAAACUGGGGCUAAUACCGGAUAGGAGCUCCUGCUGCAUGUUGUUGGUUGGAAAGUUUCGGCGGUUGGGGAUGGACUCGCGGCUUAUCAGCUUGUUGGUGAGGUAGUGGCUUACCAAGGCUUUGACGGAUAGCCGGCCUGAGAGGGUGACCGGCCACAUGGGGACUGAGAUAGGGACCAGACGCCUACGGGAGGCAGCAGUGGGAAAUAUUGCACAAUAGGCGGAAGCCUGAUGUAGCAGUGUCGCGUGCGGGAUGACGGCUUUCGGGUUGUAAACCGCUUUCGACUGUAACGAACAGUGAGUGACGGUAAUUGGUAAAGAAGCAACGGCUAACUACGUG
rnacentral:rRNA from 1 species